UUAUGGCUCAGGAUGAACGCUGGCGGCGUGCCUAACACAUGCAAGUCGAACGGGUUAAGGGGAAUUUCGGAUGGAACUUAACUAGUGGCGGACGGGUGAGUAACGCGUGGAUAACCUGCCUCACGACUGGGGGAUAGCAGCUGGAAACGGCUGGUAAUACCGCAUAAGACCACAGCACCGCAUGGUGCAGGGGUAAAAGAUUUAUCGGUGUGAGAUGGAUCCGCGUCUGAUUAGCCAGUUGGCGGGUAACGGCCCACCAAAGCGACGAUCAGUAGCCGGCCUGAGAGGGUGAACGGCCACAUUGGGACUGAGACACGGCCCAAACUCCUACGGGAGGCAGCAGUGGGGAAUAUUGCACAAUGGGCGCAAGCCUGAUGCAGCAACGCCCGCGUGAGUGAAGAAGUAUUUCGGUAUGUAAAGCUCUAUCGGCAGGGAAGAAAGGCCCGAAAGGGAGAUGACGGUACCUGACUAAGAAGCCCCGGCUAACUACGUGCCAGCAGCAGC
rnacentral:rRNA from 1 species